rnacentral:rRNA from 1 species
AUGAACGCUGGCGGCGUGCCUAAUACAUGCAAGUCGAGCGAACGGACGAGAAGCUUGCUUUUCUGAUGUUAGCGGCGGACGGGUGAGUAGCACGUGGAUAACCUACCUAUAAGACUGGGAUAACUUCGGGAAACCGGAGCUAAUACCGGAUAAUAUUUUGAACCGCAUGGUUCAAAAGUGAAAGACGGUCUUGCUGUCACUUAUAGAUGGAUCCGCGCUGCAUUAGCUAGUUGGUAAGGUAACGGCUUACCAAGGCAACGAUGCAUAGCCGACCUGAGAGGGUGAUCGGCCACACUGGAACUGAGACACGGUCCAGACUCCUACGGGAGGCAGCAGUAGGGAAUCUUCCGCAAUGGGCGAAAGCCUGACGGAGCAACGCCGCGUGAGUGAUGAAGGUCUUCGGAUCGUAAAACUCUGUUAUUAGGGAAGAACAUAUGUGUAAGUAACUGUGCACAUCUUGACGGUACCUAAUCAGAAAGCCACGGCUAACUACGUG